rnacentral:misc_RNA from 1 species
CCACAAACACCGUAUCCCCGGCCGGCAAGCAUGGCGCACGCGCGUAUUCUUCGUCAUACUCACGCAUCGCGUGGUCUUGGAUACUACGUACGUACGGCACGCACGCACACAUGAUGUGCAUGCAUGGUUAAAGGCACUUGAAGCCCGUGGGGACGCCCUUGCCGCAGAAGUUGAGGACGAGGCUGAGGUUGACGGGGAUGUUGAGGUUGAGCCCCAGCACGUUGGCCUUGAUGGCCGUGCAGAGGCACACGGCGGCUUCGAGCUCCACGAGCCCGUUCAGCAGCGGGCAGCACGGCUCGUUCACCGGCACGCCGACCUUGGCCUUGAUCAGAUCCAGCACGUUGGCGCACACGCCGAGCUUCAGCGCGUUUGUCGGGCAAUGGCCGUACCAGCCGCUCGUGCCAUCGUUGCCACCGCCACCGCCACCGCUCCCACCUCCACCGCCACCGCCACCGAUGGGGCCGUACCCACCACCGCUGCCACCUCCUAUGGGUCCGAUCCCCCCGCUGCCGCCUCCGAUGGGUCCGAUCCCACCGCCGCUGCCACCAUCACCGAUCGGACCGUACCCUCCUCCGCCGCCGCUGCCACCACCACCACCGAUCGGACCGUACCCUCCGCCGCUGCUGCCCCCACCUGGCCCGCUGCCGCCACCGGAACCGCCGGUGCCACCGCCGCCAUGCCCACUGCCGCCAUGGUGCCCGCUGCUACCGUGGCCAUUGUUGCCCGGGCAGUAAGGGCAGGCGUUGGCCGCCGCGAAGAGCAGGAGGUUGAGGACGAGGAACAGUGGCACCUUGCUGGACGCCAUUGGUCACGAGCAUGCGCAGGCGCAGCUAGGCUAGCCUAAGCUAAGCACCACCCGCUGUGGCAGCUGCAGGUGUGGAUCUACGAGCUGAGUGCAAAGAAGGUCGCUUUAUAUAUAUGGAGAUCUCGCUAGCUCCUACUACUUCAAAGUACUAGCGUAGGGUAGGUCGGGCAAAAUCAGCGAUCAGCAAAGCAAAGCAAGGUGCAGUGCAGGAGACUGGAGCGGGAAGCAAUAGA